UUUAUAACUCUAUUGUUGGAACCACAUAAUUAAUAUAUUCAUAAACAUGGAAAGAUGUUUUCUUAAAUUAUACAUACAUAUAACAUUAUACAUUAUAACAUGCAAGUAAUCAGAAAAAGUUGUCUUGAUAUGUUUAAUAUGUUUCUUUUUUUCAAAAGUGGGCCGAGUUGACCUGUGCCGAAUUGGAUAGGGCCGAGUUGACUCUUUACCUUAUUAUACAUGUUUAAAAUCUGUGAAGCAAAAUUCUGAUAAUACUCCUGGCAUAGCUCGCAUAUACAUGAUAAAAGAUAAGUUGCAUUCAAUAAACUUUGCACUCAUUUUUUUAUACAUGUACGUUUGUAUUUUCAAGUUAAAAUCCUAGCUGGGAAAUGACUUGCUAAUCGUAAUUCAUUUUCCUUAAUAAAGCCAGAGUAUUGCUUAUUUUGAUAAUAUGAUUAUGCUUUCAGAACAUUUCUAGUGAAGCUUACAAUUGAUAAUGAAGAAGUGACUAUGCUAUGGUAUGACAUCAUGCAUAUGAGCUGGUGGCAAAGGCUGUGCAGAAAGACACAGACUCUGAGAAAACAAGAAACGAGAGGCAAGAAGACCAACUAGCAGAAAUACGACGUGAGAAUGCAGAUAGCGUUCAGCUUAAUACUACCUAAGAAAAUGACAGUCAACAGACUGAUCUCUCCCAGAAUACAAAUCAAAACAGGGAGCAGU